UCCCAGCUCUCCGCCCUCUUCCAGGUCAGCAUUGACCCCCAAAAAUUCCCCAAAUUCCCCCCAAAAUUCCCUCCCAAAAUCAAAAAAAAAUUCAGAAAAAUUCACCAAAAAAUCCCCAAAAAAUCACAAAAAAAUCACAAAAAAAUCACGAAAAAAUCCCCAGGAUCCAGGGGGGCUCCCAGCUCUCCGCCCUCUUCCAGCUGGAGGUGGCGGUGCUGAGCCCGUGCUGGCGCCUGGAGCUGGGCGCUGCCCACGGCUCCUUCGAGCUGCCCUCGCACUCGUGCUCGGGGCUGCCAAAAACCCCCAAAAUUCUCCAAGAAUGCCCAAAAAACCCCCAAAAAAUUCUCAAAAAUUCCCCAAAUCCCACAUACCAAAAUAUCCCAAAAACCCCUCAAACCCCCAAAAGAAUCAUUUACAAAAUCACCCAAAAAAUCCCCAAAAAAUCCCCAAAAAUCCCCAAAAAAUCGCGAAAAAUCGCCAAAAAAUCGCGAAAAAUGGCAAAAAAUUCUUAAAAAAUCACCAAAAAAAUCCCAAAAAAUUCCUAAAAAUUCCCAAAAACCCCAAAUACCCUAAAUGUUUCAAAAAAGUCCCAAAAUUCCCCCAAACCCCCAUAAGAAGCAUUGAAAAAAUCACGAAAAAUCACCAAAAAAUCGCGAAAAAAUCGGUGAAAAAUCGCCAAAAAAUCCUCAAAAAUCUCCAAAAAAUCACGAAAAAAUUCCCAAAAAAUUCCCAAAAAUCCCCAAAAUCUGUGGCAUUGCUUUGGCAGCUGGAGGUGGCGGUGCUGAGCCCGUGCUGGCGCCUGGAGCUGGGCGCUGCCCACGGCUCCUUCGAGCUGCCCUCGCACUCCUGCUCGGGGCUGCGCGUGCGCUUCCUGCGCCCUCUCGGGGCCGCCGGGGCAGCGCUGGGUGCGGUACCUGACCCACAGCGACUCCUACGUGCUGCGCCUCUGAGAACCUUCCGGAAGCCCGGGGAGCCCCGAUCCGGGCCGGGAAACCCCCGGGAAUUCCCCAAAUAAACGGCUCGGAAAUGA